rnacentral:rRNA from 1 species
UCCUACGGGAGGCAGCAGUGGGGAAUAUUGCGCAAUGGGGGCAACCCUGACGCAGCCAUGCCGCGUGUGUGAAGAAGGCCCUAGGGUUGUAAAGCACUUUCAAAAGCGAGGAAAAGCUGCAGGUUAAUACCCUGCAGCCCUGACGUUAACUUUAGAAGAAGCACCGGCUAACUCCGUGCCAGCGGCCGCGGUAAUACGGAGGGUGCGAGCGUUAAUCGGAAUUACUGGGCGUAAAGCGCGCGUAGGCGGUUUGUUAAGUCGGAUGUGAAAUCCCCGGGCUCAACCUGGGAACUGCAUUCGAUACUGGCAAGCUAGAGUACGAGAGAGGGAGGUAGAAUUCCACGUGUAGCGGUGAAAUGCGUAGAUAUGUGGAGGAAUACCAGUGGCGAAGGCGGCCUCCUGGCUCGAUACUGACGCUGAGGUGCGAAAGCGUGGGGAGCAAACAGGAUUACAUACCCUGGUAGUCCACGCCGUAAACGAUGUCUACUAGCCGUUGGGAGACUUGAUUUCUUAGUGGCGCAGCUAACGCACUAAGUAGACCGCCUGGGGAGUACUGCCGCAAGGUUAACACUCAUAUGAAUUGACGG